AAGUUAAAAAUUGUAACAUUAAUAUAUAAUUGUCUCAGUUAUUUGUAUUAGUUUUAAUUUCUUUAUUGGCUAUGAUUAAUAGUAUACAGACAUGCGUUCGGUCUUUGGGUAGUAGGCGCGCCAUGCAGUCUGCAGAUGGCGCGCUUACUUGCACCUAUCUACACCGAAAAGGAACUUCAUUUAUGCACUUCAGUGUACAUGUAUAAAUGUCGACCGCGUGUACCGGAUGAGAGAAGCUGCUACUGUAGACAAGAUGGCUUUCUGUACUACGUUAAUAAAACGAAUAUCAACGAAUCCUCAUGAUUUACUACUCGAGAUGUAUCAUAAACUAAAAAUCAUUAUUUUCGCAAGUAGAAAAUUAUGUCAUUAGAUAAGUAAUAAUUAAGAAACAUUAAACAUCAGGAUUACUUGUGUGUAUUAUAACAAUAAAUUCAUAAAUUAUACUUUUUUAAGUCUUCACACAAGAAAAAAAAUGUAAGUAGUAAAUAAAGGCCGUGACACACGAAAAAACUUAAGCAGUAAGACUUAAAACUUAAAAGAUGCGACCAAUCACAGUCGAGAACGUAAGCAGCUAUUUUAAAACUUAAAACUUGGUUGGUCGCAUCUCUUAAGUUUUAAGUCUUAUUGCUUUAGUUUUUUCGUGUGUCACAGCCUUAAGACUUUAGGGAGGUUAUUCAUAGCCUAUUUUUAUAACGAAAUAGGUUUGUUACCUGUUAGAUACUAAUACAAUUAUCUGAUUGGCUAACAAAUAUCUUAAAAUCAUCUAAGACAUGAUAUCUUACAUCACAUAAAACCUUAAUAUAAGAACGGACUAUGGCUGCUUUCCUUUUAGGGAACACAGUCGACACUUUUGACACAAAUCGAUACACAUCACUUUCCAUUUAGAAUUUGCGUAUACCGCAUUCCAUUGUACUGUGACAAACUGUGUCGAGUGUAUAAUCUGUGUCGAAUUGUGUCUCUUAAAAGGAAAGCAGCCUAUGAAUACCGGCUUAAAACAAUGUCUAUACUAUACUAGAUCGCUAACUACGGGCUUUGGAGUACAAAAAACUGAGGCUGGCCCGAUCUCCAGUUUCGGCCAUGAUACCUGACAGAACAUGGCGACAGUGCGUGUGUGAUAGUGCGUAUGUGAGUAUCCAGUGGUUAGCGCGUAUGUGUGACAUCGUGAGAUUAUACAUAUAACCAAACAACAAGUGCGAAAAGUGCGAAGUCUUCAACUUUAUGCUGUUUGCUGUUUGUGUAUGAUAAAGGUUAACAUAAAAAUCAAUAUAAACAUAUCAAAAGUAAAGUAUAUUUAUAUUAAAUAUAUGAAGUAUAUAUUUAUUUUAAAAUGUAUACGAAAAGGAAAGUACAUGUUUACGUUGUCUAUAUAAUACAAGAAAUACAAUCUUAUGUAUUCUGAAACAAUAUCAAUUUUGAUAACUUUCGUCGUUUGCUAACGGGAUUUAUGACGUCUUUGUUUAACGUAUUCGCAUGUGAAUACAUUCGAAUCGUUAAAUAUUUGCGACAAAUAAUAGUUAUUAAUUGUAGGCGGUGUGGUGAAUCUAUACCCAACUCGAAUCUUUCGUAACAAUCUUUAUUAGUAGGAAAUACAUUUAUGUCCAAUGCAUAUCUGCGUGUAAUGCGACAAAUGAUUUUACGAUAUGCAUCUUUAUUUGGUAGCUUAUUUUGACUGUUUGUUAAUGAUUGACGAAACUCUGUGUCUGUGGCACAGACAAUUUUGUACACAUCAUUCGAUGCGUAUAUUAAACCUCCCUUCUGUUUUAUGUCUACGAAUAUGGUGUACGGCAAACUAUUAUGUUUCUUAUCAUUGACUUUUCUUAUAAUGUUGGCAAUGCAGCUUUUACAUGUUAAUGUACGAAUCAUUGUUUUAACUAUGAAACCCGCUAUAUAAUAUAAAAUGUUAUCUUUCAGAAAACUACUUUCAUUCCCAGGGAUACUAUGAUAUAGUUCUCCAUCUUGAUCGUCAUCAAACAAACCAUCAUUAUAUAUAUCGCAGUCUGCGCUAUUAAUGUUGUCAUGCCAAUUUUGCACAUUUUUUUCUGCGCCCAUCUCAAUUUAAAUUGUACAUCGUUGUCUGAGUCAAAUGUGACACAAUUAGCUGUCGCUGACGCUGUAAUCGAAGUUUUAACCAAUAAACUUUUCAUA